AGUGGGCUGUGUAACCUUGGCGUCGUUGUUUGUCAUGCGCUGGUCUGUAGCAAUUUGACCAAAGUCUGGGAUUACUCCAAGGCUGUUUGUCAGAAGUGUCAAAUCAGUAAGGAUAUGUGUUUGUCCCCUUCAUGCCACCGCGACUGGGGAUGAUUUUAUGGCAGGGCCACCUGCAUAUUUCCAUUUGUUCUCCUUUAAACUGGCAACGAGUCUUGUAUUCUGAAGCGAAUGUAAAUCCCACGACUAAGGAACAGCAAGAAGUAUUUUCUGCAUUAAUAUCUGAAAACACACGGGAGCCAAUUCAGUCAUUAUUGUGGUGAUGGAAGCGUGGAAGCCAUUUUACACCCGGUAAGGAUGAACAAGCAGAAAAACGACACUGACCUGAGUAUGAGAUCAUCAAGUAUGAAAACCAUACAAUUGACUAAUAGAAGGAUAUAUAUUUGAAGGCUUAGCAGCAUUUGUGGUAGGAAGGGAAUUGUCGACACUUUGGGUCAAAACUCUGCAUCGGCACUAAGGCAUUGAUGAUUCUUGUCCAGCUGCUAGAUCUGCUGAAUUCCUCCAGCAGGUUGUUCAAGUUUAAUUAUCAUUCAACCAUACGUGAGUAUCCAUGAACACAGCCAAACGAAACAACGUUCCUCCGGCGCCAAGGUGCAAAACACAGUACCAACAGUCAUUCGCAGCAUAAGCCACACCUCGCAGCAAUCCCUGUAUUUACUCUGAGCCUAACAACAGGACAAUUCACCAUGACCAAUUGACCUACCAAAUGGUACGUCUUUGGACUGUGGGAGGAAACUGGAGCACCCGAAGGAAACACACAAGGUCACUGGGAGAACGUACAAACUCUUUAAAGGCAGUAGUGGGAAUUGAACCCAGGUUGACUGUGCGGUAUAGUGUUGUACUAACCACAGUGCUACACAAUAGCGUAGAGGUUAACAUACAGUUUGUUGUGAAAUUUGUUGUUUUGUGGCAGCAGUACAAAAGACAACAUAAAACUUGCUAUAGGUUAUAAGAAGAAUAACAAGAUAGUCAUGGAACGUUCAGAAAUCUGAGGGCAGAGGGGUGGGGCCAUGUUCUUUUCGUGUUGCUCCCAUCAUGUAGAAGGUACAAGAACUUCAGGACUUGCAGCACUAGGUUCAAUAACAGCCUCAACCAUCAGGCACCUGAAUGAAAGGGGAUAGCCACACUCAACUUCAAUUACCCCAUCACUGAGAUGUUCCCACAAUUAAUGAUCUCACUUUAAUUACUCUUUGUCUGAUUUUCUCGUUAUUUAUCGCUAUUUAUUUAUAUUUGUAUUUGCACAGUUUGUUGUAUCCCGCACUGUGGUUGGUCUUUCAUUGAUCCUGUUACAGUUAUUAUUUGAUAGGUUUAUUGAGUAUGCCCACAGGAGAUUUAAUCUCAGGGCUGUAUAUGGUGACAUAUACAUACAUUCAUUGUAAAAUUUGAACUUAAAACUUUUGAUCUUUGGAAAAAGCUGUUCAGUUCUAUUUUUGGCCUCAUUGAGUCCAUUUUAUCUCCAAAUAAAUGUACGGAUACAAACUUAUGUAGUUUUAAUCAAGCCUUCCUCAACCUUUUACAGUCAAUGAGUGUUUUGGAAAUGUCAGUUAUAGUGUAACGAAUGUUCCUUGUUUCGAGCUGACAAUAGUUUGGAUCUAUUGGGUUUAGGUACAAUAUUAACAGCGUUAGUCUGCUAUUGAUGAUGCAGACUUUGCAUAACCUUUAGCUGCUGACACAACAAAAUAAAGCCAGGUGCAGGAGGUUUCUCUAGUCCCUUAUCAGCUAAUGCAAACCAGGAGUCAGAGAUCGGUUUCAUGCUAUCAUGUUACGGACUUGCUCUGUAGGUCUAAAUUCAUUCCUUCAGUUUUUCUGAUGAGUUAUAAGGCAUUGCUCAGACAAUAUAAACACGCGUUGGCUCACGAGGUGAGGGUACAGUAGGAUCCUGUGGAUAUUUACGCUUGUUUAUGUUCCAUCUGGUUGCCCAUUGCAGGGAGAGAUUUACCUACUCAAGUUUGAUACACAUCUUAAUGCAGCCAUACAGAAAGAUGGCCAUCAGGGUGAGGGCUUCACCUGGGUGUAGGUUUUCACCUUGUCUCUGGAGAAUUGCACCUCAUGUCCUGCCAGAAGUGAUCCAUGCAAUGGAGAGACUGUCCAGGUGAGAGCCACGGUGCAGAGGCGGAGAGCAGGCUAGCCUCACAUCACAGCCAGCAACAGCAGGAGCACCUUCCAAAUGAUUGUCGUAUUCUUGUUCACCAUUGGCAGGGAGGACUGCACCCACAUUCUCACCUUCUGCUUCCCUCCAAACAAUCCUGGGUGCUCCCAAGCAGAUCUUCAGCCCCUUCGGGCAAUCAGCCCUGUUGGUGAGUGAAUCAGUAAGCAGUUGUCUAAGACCAUGAUCUUGCUUCCAUUUGGGACUCUGGAGCCAAUGCUCAAGCCACACUGAUGAUGCAGAUGGACCACCUCUGUUCCCUUUCUCCUUUCUUUUGUCUCAUGGUCCACUGUCCUCUCCGAUUAGAUUCCUUCUUCUUCAUCUCCUCACCUCUUCCACCAUCACCUCCCAGCUUCUAAUUUUAUUGCACCCCCUGCCCCCACCUAUUCAAAUUCUCCCUCAGUUGGUUCCACCUAUCACCUGCCUCUUGUAUUAUUUUCCCUUCCCCACCUUCUUAUCCUGCCUUCUGUCCUGUUUCUUUCUAAUAUCAUCAUUGUUGCUGUCCAAAUAUUCCAGGGUUGUGGGAAGAGCAAAUGAGAUGGCAUCUGCUAUAAACCUGUUGCUUCAGUAGGCAAAUUGGAGCAGAUCCAAUUUGGUCAUGAAGCUGAUGUGUUUCUUGGUAGAUGAGGAGCAUUGGGUGCCCUGCCGCUCCUUGUCUUACUGAGCAGGAUGCAUCAAACACUGCACUACUCUCCGACUGCCAGUGCGUUGGAUCGAACACUGCGCUACUCUCUGCCUGCCAGUGCAUCACAUCAAACACUGCGCUACUCUCCGACUGCCAGUGCAUCACAUCAAACACUGCGCUACUCUCUGCCUGCCAGUGUGUUGCAUCAAACACUGCGCUACUCUCCACCUGCCAGUGUGUUGCAUCAGACACUGCGCUACUCUCCACCUGCCAGUGUGUUGCAUCAAACACUGCGCUACUCUCCGACUGCCAGUGCAAGGCCGCGUCAGGUUUUGAUACAAAAGAUUCUGCAAGUGCUGGAAGUUGCUGGAGAAACUUGGCAGGCCAGGCAACAUCUAUGGAGAAGAAUAAACAGUUGACGUUUUAGGCCAAGACACUGAAGCUGGUGGAUAUAGAAGUCUUUAUUCUGCAAAAUGAACAGCAGGCAUCAUAUAUGAGAUGCUCUUGGAAGAAGAGGUCUGCCUGACCCAAUAUCACAUGAUAUUUUUCUAUGCUAAAGAUCUAAGGUGACAGCAGGACAAUUCUAUAGUCACAAUGUAUCUACAAUGCUACCCUUGAAUUACAUAUAACUUUCAAACUUUUCCAACACUCCAGACAGCCAAAAUCAAUGUCUAUUUAGUUGCAUUCAAGCAUAUGCAGACAUUGCAAGUGAUCAACCCCAGUCUGCAGUUCCAGGAAGCCCCUUGUUCAGAGCUGUAUUUUAAAUUCAAUCUGCAAUCCACAUUCAAAUCUGAAGUAUUGGUGCUGUUGAAAUUAAAAAUUGCUGUAUACUCUAACUCCAGAAUGCACUGUAACAAUCCACUCUCCUCUCCUACCAGAUUCUUACUUCACCAGCUGUUUACCUGUCCUACCCACCUGCGUUCACCUAUCACCCUUCCCUCCCCCCCAGUAUUUUAUUCUGGUAUCUUCCCCCUUCCUUUCCAGUUCUGAAGAAGGGUCUCGACACAAAACAUCGACUGUUUAUUCAUUUCUGUAGAUGCUGCCUGACCUGCUGAGUUCCUCCAGCAUUUUGUGUGUUCCUUCGUUUGGGAAGGGUCAGAGUACAAAUUCCUUUGGUGACACAAGAGACUUCAGGUGCUGGAAUUGGAGGUAAAAUCAAGCUGCUGGAGGAACUCAGCAGGUCAGGAAGCAAAUUGGAUGUCACAACCACGAAUUUGGCAGCACAGCCAAUACAGCAAUUGUGCUCGUGUCAGUUAAUUAUUAUUUAAUUGUGAUAGUAUUUGACUCUAUUCUUUCAGUCACAGUUCUUGUGGAGACUUGAAGAUAGCACAGCAAUGCUUCGUUGUUGGCUUGCAUUUGGCCUUUCCUGAGAAAUUGGACUGUCGAGACAAAUGACUGUGAAAACUCGUGGUAUUUAUUUUGUAUUUAGUUAUUUGCCUAUACGAAGUGCAGGCUUCACUUUCCAUUUGAGAGUUUUUAGUUAACGCCCUGUUUGGCCUAGCAUUUAUUGUUUGCUUUAACCUUUUAACUCUGUUGGCAUUAAAGUCUGUGAACUGUCGACCCACCUCAGAUUCUCUUGCUCGACACUUGGGCCCCGUCCAAACCCGGGUGACAGUGGAGGGAAAUGGAAAGAUGACGUUUUUGGCAAGAGGUACCGCAGCAUUAGGACAAGAACGAUUAGGAUUGGAAACAGCUUCAUCCCCCAGGCGGUGAGACUACUGAGCUCCCUGCCACCACCCAGAUCACGUCAUGAAUGAAGUAGUAGUUCCUCCAGCUUGUUAUGUACCGUGGAGAGCACUCUAAUUGAUUACAUCACUGUCAGAUAUGGAGGGACAACUGUACGGGAUCAGAAAAAGUGUUCUAAGGAGGAAUGUGGUGCCAGAGAGAUGGCAUCUGCCGUUGACCUGUUGCUCCGGUGUCAGUGUGGACAUGGUGGAGGAUUACAAAUACCUGGGGAUACGAAUUGUCAAUAAACUGGACUGGUCAAAGAACAUUGAGGCUGUCUACAAGAAGGGUCAGAGCCGUCUCUAUUUCCUGAGGAGACUGAGGUCCUUUAACAUCUGCUGGACGAUGCUGAGGAUGUUCUACGAGGCUGUGGUGGCCAGUGCUAUUACGUUUGCUGUUGUGUGCUGGGGCAGCAGGCUGAGGGUAGCAGACACCAACAGAAUCAACAAACUCAUUCGUAAGGCCAGUGAUGUUGUUGGGGUGGAACUGGACUCUCUGAUGGUGGUGUCUGAAAAGAGGAUGCUGUCCAGGUUGCAUGCCAUCUUGGACAAUGACUCUCAUCCACUCCAUAAUGUACUGGUUAGGCACAGGAGUACAUUCAGCCAGAGACUCAUUCCACCGAGAUGUAACACUGAGCAUCAUAGGAAGUCAUUCCCGCCUGUGGCAAUCAAACUUUACAACUCCGCCCUCGGAGUGUCAGACACCCUGAGCCAAUAGGCUGGUCCUGGACUUAUUUCCACUUGGCAUGAUUAACUUAUUAUUAUUUAAUUAUUUAUGGUUUUAUAUUGCUAUAUUUCUACACUAUUCUUGGUUGGUGCGACUGUAACAAAACCCAAUUUCCCUCCGGAUCAAUAAAGUAUGUCUGUCUGGAGAGUUCAAGGGAACAAACCAUGCAUAUUAGCUACAGUGCAUCCUUUCUUUCAAAAAUAUGUCCACAUCAAAUAUAGUUCACUGACUAUAAAAUAGUUUGUUAAAAGAGUGAUUGUAAAUAUAGUUCAGCUGCAAUGUUUUUUAUGGUUUUCCAAAUUUACAGUUUUGAGAAAUUGAGAUUUAUUUUAGAAAAGCCUGAAGCCGGAAGUGCUGAAGUUAUAAAGAGCUGGUCCAACUUAGAGGUAUCGAGGAUGAUAAAUGGUACCGGCCAUGUUGAGAAACCAGAGAGAAUUGGAGGCAGAUUGAUGAGGUUCAGAAUUAUUGGAAAUUUUGAGAAAAGGUUUUAUGUAAGUGCCAAGCAUACUGGUGGAGAUGUAAGUACUUUUUUUACACAACUUAAGACCAUAAGACCAUGAAAUAUAGGAGCAGAAUUAGGCUAUUUGGCCAAUCGAAUCUGCUUCAUCAUUUCAUCAUGGUUGAUCCAUUUUUCUUCUCAGCCCCAUUUUCAGGCCUUCACCCCGUAUCCCUUCAUUCCCUGAUCAAUCAGGAAUCAAUCAGCCUCUGCCUUAAGUAUACUUAAAGAUUUGGCCUCCACAGCUGCCUGUGGUAAAAAAGUUCCAUAGAUUCACCACUCUCUGGCUAAAGAAAUUCCUCCUCAUCUCUGUCUUAAAAGGAUACCCCUCUAUUCUGAGGCUGUGUCCUCUGGUCCUAGACUCUCCAACUAUAGGAAACACCCUCUUCACAUCCACUCUAUCAUGGCCUUUCACGAUUCAAUAGAGUUCAAUUAGAUCAUCCUUCAUUCUUCUGAAUUCUAGUGAAUACAGGCUCAGAUCCAUCAAAUUUCUUCAUAUGAUAAGCCAUUCUCUGGAAUCAAUUUUAUGAACCUCCUUUGAACUCUCUCCACUGUCAGCACAUCUUUUGUAAGAUAAGCGACCCAAAACUGCUCACAAUACUCCAAAUGAGGCCUCACCAGUGUUUUAUAAAGCCUCAACAUUAAUUCCUUGAUGAGGCCAUAAUUGGAUUAGUGUUCUGCCUGAAAAAGGCAGGGCAGAUCAACAUGCGAAAGUGCGCUGCAUAUGCCUGAUUUGGAACAUUUUUCAUAGCUGUGACGAAAGAGUAAGUCAAUUCAUUACAUAUUUUCUUCAAAAAGCCAGAACAAACACAAUGGGCCCAGUGGCCUCCCUCUGUACUGGGGUUCUCCGAACUAUUUUCUUACCAUCGCAAAGUGGCAAUAAUGAAGGACACAACACAUCCCCUUCUCCCAUCUUUAUAUUCUGGCAUCUUCCCCCUUCUCAGUCCUGAAGAAGGGUCUCAGUCCGAAAUGUCAAUUGUUCAUUCAAUUCCAUAGACGUUGCCUGACCUGCUGAGUUCCUCGAGCGUUUUGUGCCUGUGACAUUUUGUUUGCUCAUCUCUUCAGGGAUCAGAUGCCCUGAGGAGAGGUUCAACGGGAAAAAACUAAAAAUAUUACUAAGAUUGAUUGACAAAGAAUAAGUCUGUGCAAAUUAUUCUUAACCCUAAUUCAAAAGAAGCAGCAUUGCAAAAUGCAAGCAGAUAAUGUUCUCCUGCCUAUCAACAGAUUUUAUUUAAAUUAAUUGUGACAAGUUGUAGCAAGUCUAUCCAUACAAUCGGAAGACAUUUUUACACUUCAACUUCAUGUUGAAGAAAAUCUGUGGAACAAAGACUCUAGUUGACAAGGACAAAUUUACUGCUGAGAGAACGAAUAAGUACAGGGGUGGUAGAAGUUGCAUUGACCACCAUACCUGCUAACAGCUGCAGCCAUUUAAAGACGAAGGUAACACCAACAAUGCUGUUCAUCCCAUUGUGCCUGCUUUAGUUUUUGACAUCUUUGUCUUGCCUGCUUUCCUGUGGUCAUAGAGUCACAGAAAAUAACAGUACAGAAAUGGCCCUCUUCAUCAUUUUUAUGGUAAUCUUAUUGACUGUAUUAGGCUGGUAUCAUUCUAGUCCAUUCCUAACUAAGUCACAGGGAGAUAAGGUUAUAAAGAAAGAUUUUGACACAUUGCCCUUCCUAAAUCAAAGUACUGAGUAAAGGAGAUGGAAUGUUAUGUUGAAGUUGUAUAAAACAUUGGUGAAGCCUGAUUUGGACUAUUGUGUGCAUUUUUGGCCAGCUAUCUGCAGGGAAGACAUAAAUAAGGUUAAAAGUAUCCAGAGAAAAUUUACAAGGAUGUUGCCAGGUAUCAAAGGUAUCAGAUAUCAAAGGUUUCAAAGAUACACUUAAUGUCAGAGAAAUGUAAACAAUAUACACCCUGAAAUGCUUUUCUUAUACAAGGACAAAUUGAAUAGGUUAGGACUUUAUUCCUUCGAAUGUAGAAGAUUGAGAGGAGACUUGAUAGAGGUAUAUCAAAUUAUGAGGGGUAUAGACAAGGUAAAUGCAAGCAGGCUUUUUCCACUGAGAUUGGGUGGGACUACAACUAGUACAACUAGAGGUCAUUGGUUAAGGGUGAAAGAUGAAAUGUUUAAGGGAAUAUGAGGGGAAACAUCUUCACUCAGAGGGUGGUGAGCAAUGUUCCCUCUAAUGUUCAGAGGUCAGUGUGCACAAAAAUGUUACAUUGUGCAGAUUUUUUUCCUGUGACAAAAGUAUGAGCGCACUGAAUGCACACAUGGCACAGUUUAUGUAGGUUUACAAAAUAUUUGACAUAAAACUGCACAGAAUAACAACAAAAUAACAUACAUAUUUAAGUCACUCAGUUAUUUUAACACUUGCUAAAAGAUUAUUUUAAAUAAGAAUAAUUAACAAUUACUACAUUAUUUUAGGUAAUUAACCUUUUCCGUGCACAUUAAUUUCCUUUGUGCCUGGUUGUAAAGUAUGUGUGCACAGCUGAGAAGGAACAUAGGUGGUGAGAGUGUGGAACGAGCUGCCAGCACAAGUGGUGCAUGUGAAUAUUUCAACGUUUAAGAGAAGUUUAGAUAGGUAUUUGGAUGGUAGAGGAAUGGAGGGCUAUGGUUCCAGUACAGGUCAAUGGGAGUAGGCAGUUUAAAUGGUUCAGCAUGGAUUAGAUGGGCCAAAGGGCCUGUUUCUGUGCUAUAAUUUUCUACAACUCUACCUGUUCAAUUUAAAUGUUAUAGUGGUAACUUCUGUGGUUUAUUAUUGUCACGUGUACUGAGAUAUUGUGAAAAGAUAUGUUUAACUUGCCAUCGCGUUUCAUGACGUAACUACUGUACUCUGCAGAGGUUGUAGGCACAUGUAAAUAGGUAGGGUGCUUAAGAAUUUUGCACAGUACUGCAUUCGUCAACAUGGAGCGGAGAGCAAGUUUGUAAAUCUGGCGGGAGCAAAGGAUGUUGGGUAUGGCAAAGGCGGAGUGUCAUGGGAAGGGUGUGGGACAGGUAUUAGAGGGGAGUGCCAGGGCGGGGUGGGGGGGCGGUGACACGGACGCAGACACACACACUGCCCUGAGACACCUGACAAGGUAAUUUGAUUCCAAACCAUCAGUUUAUUGAUCGUGUCUCUCUGGUGUUUCCUGCUCCCUCUCCUCUCCUCCUUCCCCUUUGCCCAACCAUGAUUCCCCUCUCCCUGCCCCCUUCCCACUCUGAGUCCACACUAGAGACCCAUAUCAGAAUCAGGUUUAUCAGCACUCACAUAUGUCAUAAAAUUUGGGGGUUUUUUUGCAGCAGGAGUGCAAUACAUAAAAUUACUACAGUCCUGUGCAAAAUUCUCAAGCACCCUAGCUACACAAUAUAUGUGCCUAAGACUAUUGCACAGUAUGGUACAACAAGGUCUUCCUAGAGCAUCUUCACCUUGUUGUGGUGGAAAGGCUUUUGAGUUCCUGAGAUCCCGAGGGCAAUGCCAUCUGGUAGGGCCCCCCGUAGUGGUAAGGUCAAGGGGGAGGUUUGAGACAAGCAGUGGUCCAAUCAGGACCCACUUAUCCUGCAGUGAAGGCCAAGCAAGGCUGCGCUAGUAAAGGGUGUGUCCCGUUGACUUGCACUCCGUGCUAUUUGACCUUGACCUCGGUCGUGUGGUGGCCGCCCAUGCAUCAGAUUCAAAUGUACUAUCACUGGCAUGUGACGUUAAUUUAUCAGCAGCAGUUCAAUGCAGUACAUAAUCUAGCAGUGAGAGAGAGAAAAAAAAUAAAUAAAGUAAGACAUAAUAAAUAAACAAGUAAAUCAAUUACAUAUAUUGAAUAGAUAUUUCAAAAUGUGCAAAAACAGAAAUACUGUACACUGUAUUAAAAAAGUGAGAUCAUGUCCAAAGUUUCAAUGUCCAUUUAGGAAUCAGAUGGCAGAGGGGAGGAAGCUGUUCCUGAAUCUCUGAGUGUGUGCCUUCAGGCUUCUGUACCUCCUACCUGAUGGUAACAGUGAGAAAAGGGCAUGUCCUGGGUGCUGGAGGUCUUUAAUAAUGGAUGCUGCCUUUCUGAGACACCGCUCCCUGAAGGUGUCCUGGGUAUUUUGUAGGCUAGUACCCAAGAUGGAGCUGACUAGAUUUAUAACCUUCUGCAGCUUCUUUCAGUCCUGUGAAGUAGCCCCUCCAUACCAGACAGUGAAGCAGCCUGUCAGAAUGCCCUCCACAGUACAACUAUAGAAGUUUUUGAGUGCAUUUGUUGACAUGCCAAAUCUCUUCAAACUCCUAAUAAAGUAUAGCCGCUGUCUUGCCUUCUUUAUGACUACAACGGUAUGUUGGGACCAGGUUAGAUCCUCAGAGAUCUUGACACCCAGGAACUUGAAGCUGCUCACUCUCUCCACUUGUUAAACAAGUCAUGCAGAGUCAUUCUCUGUAAAGGGCAACUGCUUAGGAGAACAUCCUACUUAGCCCGAGUGAUCGCUCUACAUCGAGAUAGUAGCAAGGGGGAGGCAAUUCAGAGUACGAUUACACUAACAGAGAACGUACAGUGCAGGUGACCAAGCGGUGCGAAGGUGCCAGGACCACGAGGAGGCGGGUGGGGGAGAUCAAGAGUUCAUCUAUCUCAUACAGAAGGUUUGUUCAAGAGCCUUGCUACAGUGCGAUUAAAUCUGUUCCUGAUCCUGGGAGAUUUACCUGCCAACUGAUAGGCCUUUGGAUGGUGGGUGGAAUUCGGAAUACUCGGAGAAAGCACACGUGGUCACAGAGAGAACGUGCAGACUCCCCGACAGGUUGGCUGCCUUCCUGACGCAGCAGGACGGUUAGUUUGUUCAAAAUAUUCACUGCCCUCUGUGUGGAAAAAAAUUAUCCCUGAGAUCUCUUCAAAAUUUCUCUUCUCUCACCUUAAAUUUACAUCCUCUCAUUCUAGACUGACCUAUCCUGGGAUAGAGAUUACAACUACUUAUCUUCUCUAAGCCCCUGAUGUGUAUCCCCUGCGUCUUUUCUCUUCAAGUGUUCAUUGAUUUCCUUAUGAAGGGUUUUACUGACCUCCACCACCUUUUCAGAGUGCUUUUAAGAUUACAACACUUGCUGCAUACACAUUUAAACUUUCUGGAUGGUUCCAUCGCUCCUUUAGCCAAUAACCUCAUCCCAGCAUCUCCUGGUUAAAAAUUAUUUUUAUUACUCACAUGUGCAUUGCAACAUCUAACAAUACGGUGAAACUGUUGCUAACAUCCAGCACAGUCCAAGGACGUGCUGGGGGCAGCCUGCAAGUGUGGCCACGCUUCCAGUGUCAAUGCCGCAUGCCCACAACUUACAACCUUUUCCCUGUAUCUGCGUCUUUGGACUGUGGGAGGAAACCGAAGCACCUGGAGCAAACCCGCAGGGUCACGGGGAGAGCGUACAAACUCCGUACAGGAAUUGAACCUUGAUCUGGGAUUGCUGGUGCUGUAACGUGUUGUGCUAACCAUUAUGACAUUGCACUGGCUGCUGAUGGCGCAUGUCCAGUUGCAGCGGCAACUCCGACUCCAACUAAUAGUGCAAAUGUAUAAUGCCGGAAGUGUUUACAGUUCACUUUUUAACUUGUGUCACAAACGUUUGUACUAUUUGUUAAGUUACUGGUGGUAACAUUACUUUAUGUGUUAUGUGUGAGUCCUAUGUACUGUGUUCUGCGCCUUGGUCUGCAAGGGUAUUGUUUCUUUUGGCCGUGUACGUGUGUACAGCUGAAUGGCAAUAACCUUUAACUUGAACUUGAUUCUUGAGCCUCUGCAAACUGUUUUUCUUGAUUACUCCAGUGAAGAAUUUCCCAAGCAUCUUUCUGUCACUCCAGCCCAAUAUCACACUGCAGUUCUAAUGAUUCUCUUUUGCACCUUCUACAAGCCUUAACAUUCUUCCUGAGGUUCCUGUGAUUAGAGGAUUGAUGCAAAGACCUUAAGGACAGAAAGACCCAGCACUUUGAUAAUGUAGUCUUGCAUAUUUCAGUGCUACAGUACUGUGCAAGAGUCUGAGGCACAUAAAUAGUGUAUUUAUCUCCGGUGCUUACGACUUUUACACAGAACUGUAUUUAACAACAUGGAGUGGAGAGCGAAUUUGUAAAUCUGGUGGGAACAAAGGACGUUGGGAAUAGUGAGCGUGGGACAGGUGGCAGUAAAGGUGUGUCGGGGGGGACGGGUUGUUGGUGCAGAUGCAGAUACACCCAGCCCUGAGACACCAGACAAGGUCAUUUGAUUCCAAGCAUAUUGGUUUAUUGACCAUUACAGAAUGUCUUUCUGGUGCUUCCCAAGCCCUCCCCUCUCCCUUCCCCUUCCUACUCUCAGUCUACAAUACAGACGCAUAUCAGUAUCAGCUUUAUCGUCACUCACGUAUACCAUGAAAUUUGUUUUUUUUGUGUUACACAGUAAAGUGCAAUACAUAAAAUUAAUACAGUACUGUGCAAAAGUCUUAGGCACCAGCUAUACAUAUAUACACCUAUGACUUUUGCACAGUACUGUGAAUGACUGAAAACCCAGUUAUCCUGGAGAGAACUAUAAUGACAGAUAUUUCUGGGUUAUUGAGCAUUAUAGCCACUUCCAGUCACGAGGCCUGUUUGUCUGAUGCAAUACCUGUACCAGAGGCACAUCAGGUGAUAUCACUCCAGAAAAGCGCAUUUUCAAUUGGAAAGCCACAACACAUUUCUAGACAAUUUACUUUAAUGUCCUUUCGAAAUGGAAGUACCUCCAGCAACUUAACACUUCCUGGAUUACACCUGCAGGAAGUUUUGCAUGAACUGCUCACCAUGUCAACCCGCUCCUCGCGAUCUGUUGCAUUUUUUUACUCAAGUGUUAUUUCCAAAACCCUGUUGCGCUCUUUACUUUAUCACACCGCUGUACACUUCAAUGCAGGAAAACACAAAUCAGGAAAAACUUCCAUUACUCCAGUUCCAGGCAAUUCUUCUCAAGUUUCCAAUAAGUUCAUAUGAAAGCAAUUCAGCAUGUGAAGAAAUAAACCGUCUUUCAAAAGGACCACAAACUGUUGGUAUUCUGGUAAAAAUUAGGCAGCUCCUGGGUGUACAGAAAUCAACAGGAAGCAUUAACAAAAAUCCAAACCUUUGUUCAUCUUUAAUUUGUUUCAUGUGUUCACCAUCCCUUAUUGGAAAAUGGUCAGUGGCAAAGCAGCACGGAACUCUGAAAAGUUUGAGCCUGUGCGGGAGUGUCUCUCCAGCCAGUAGUAGCUGCUUCUUUUCAUCUCCCUCCAACAAAUCUCUUUGUCCUACUUUUCGUUCAUCUGUCCUAUUAUCUCCAUGGGAGUUGGUGUCAGAUUUUAGUUUAAUUCUGAAGUACUUUGAGACAUUUUGCCACACUGAAGAUGCUUCAUAAAUGACCAGUUGUUUGCCUCUGCCCUCCUCCCUCUCAACUCUGUAGCAAUGGACAGAGCUUUGAGAUAUGAGAGCUACAACAGGCAAAGCCAUCCCUGUCAUUGAGCCCAUCUCCAUGGAGCGCUGCCACAAGGAAGUACUCUCGGACAUCAAGGACCCCCACCAUCCAGGACAUGCCCUCUUCCCACUACUGCCAUCGGGAAGGAGGUACAGGACUCACACCACCAGGUUCAGCAACAAUAAUCAGAAUCAGAAUCAGGUUUAUUAUCACCGGCAUGUGACGUGAAAUUCGUUAACUUAGCAGCAGCAGUUCAAUGCAGUACAUAA